GACGUAGGGCGCGAGCGUUGUCCGGAUUUAUUGGGCGUAAAGAGCUCGUAGGCGGCUUGUUGCGUCGACCGUGAAAACCCGCGGCUCAACUGCGGGCUUGCGGUUGAUACGGGCAGGCUGGAGUUCGGUAGGGGAGACUGGAAUUCCUGGUGUAGCGGUGAAAUGCGCAGAUAUCAGGAGGAACACCGGUGGCGAAGGCGGGUCUCUGGGCCGAUACUGACGCUGAGGAGCGAAAGCGUGGGGAGCGAACAGG
rnacentral:rRNA from 1 species